AUGCAGGAGGAUGGGGUGGCGCAGUGGGAGGGGUACGUGGACUGGAGGAACCGGCCGGCGACGAAGGCCCGGCACGGCGGCAUGGUCGCAGCCUCCUUCGUGCUCGUUGUGGAGGUGCUUGAGAACCUGGCGUUCCUGGCGAACGCGAGCAACCUGGUGACUUACCUGAUGAAGACCAUGCACUACUCGCCGGCCCAGUCGGCCACCACGGUGACCAACUUCAUGGGCACGGCCUUCCUGCUCGCCCUCCUCGGCGGCUUCCUCUCCGACGCCGUCUGCACCACCUACGUCGCCUACCUCAUCAGCGCCUUCGUCGAGUUCAUGGGCCUGGUGAUCCUGACGAUCCAGGCGCGAUCUUCGUCCCUGAUGCCGGCGCAGUGCGACAAGGGCGCUCCAGGCUGCUUACCGGUGGGAGGGAGCAAGAAGGCGAUGCUGUUCGUGGGCCUGUACCUGACGGCUCUGGGCGUGGGGGGAAUCAAGGGCUCCCUGCCGCCGCACGGCGCGGAGCAGUUCGACGAGGACACCCCGCGAGGCCGCAAGGGCCGCUCCACUUUCUUCAACUACUACGUCUUCUGCCUCUCCUGCGGCGCGCUGGUCGCGGUCACCUUCGGCGUGUGGGUGGAGGACAACAUGGGGUGGCAAUGGGGGUUCGGCAUCUCCACCGUCGCCAUCCUGCUCUCCAUCCCGGUCUUCCUCGCCGGAUCCGGGCGCUACCGAAGCAAGGUGCCCACGGGCAGCCCGCUCACAACGAUCGCCAAGGUGCUCCUGGCUGCCGCUUCGGCACGCAGCCGAGGCAGCGGCACGCAGAACGGGGCCAGCAAUGGCGCCGUCAUCGACCGCGCGCCCAGCCCCACGGGCAGCACCGACAUGAAGGAAUAUUAUGGUAACAAGGAGUCGUGCGAGGCCGUGGAGCCGUCGCAGGAGCUGAAGGCGCUGAACAGGGCCGUGCAGUGCCAGCCGCGGCACAGGGCGCUGGCGUGCUCGGUGCAGGAGGUGGAGGACGUGAAGAUCGUGCUCAUGGUGCUCCCCAUCUUCCUGGCCACCAUCAUGCUCAACUGCUGCCUGGCGCAGCUGUCCACCUUCUCCGUGGAGCAGGCGGCGACCAUGGACACCCGAGUGGGGGGGCUCAAGGUGCCCCCGGCGUCUCUCCCGGUGUUCCCCGUCACGUUCAUCAUCCUCCUGGCGCCGAUCUACGACCACGUCAUCGUCCCGUUGGCGCGCCGGGUGACCGGGACGGAGAUGGGGAUCACGCACCUGCAGCGCAUCGGCACGGGUUUGGUCCUCUCCAUCGUGGCAAUGGCGGUGGCAGCCGUCGUCGAGGUGAAGCGGAAGAAGGUGGCGACCGAUGCCGGGAUGGUCGACUCCACGGCAGGCACGCCUCCUCUGCCAAUCACCUUCUUCUGGAUCGCGUUCCAAUACCUGUUCCUGGGCUCGGCGGAUCUCUUCACGCUGGCAGGAUUGCUGGAGUUCUUCUUCAGCGAGGCGCCGCCGCGGAUGCGGUCGCUGGCGACGUCGCUGUCGUGGGCGUCGCUGGCGCUGGGGUACUACAUGAGCUCGGUGCUCGUCGCGGUGGUGAACAGCGCCACGGGCCGCGGCGGGCACCAGCCGUGGCUGGAAGGGGCCAAGGAUAACCUGAACCGGUACCACCUCGAGAGGUUCUACUGGCUCAUGUGCGUGCUCAGCGCGCUCAACUAUGUCUUCUUCUUGGUCCUGGCCAUCCGGUACAAGUACAGAAACGCCGGGGUCAUCAAGGGGUGAUCCAUGCUAUUCCUCAUGCGCGCAGUUUGUGUAAUGUAGGGAACGUCGUUGGGUACUGCUGUUCGUAAUAUCGGGCAUGAUAUAUGGAGGACGAACAAAACAUUCACAUUCCGCUGCAAAGAGAUAAUUUCCUUGACUACCACUGUUGUGGUAAAAUAAACCUCUUAUAUGGGCCGGGCCGUAAAUCCUACAUGGUGAUGACCAAGUCAACAUUUCGCAAGCACGGGUCAAAACGCCCCCGUGGCGCAGUCAAUCCUACGUAGUAAAAGAAGACUAGUCAAUGAGUCAAGCCUCUCAUUUCAUGGUCAAAUGAUCAAAUGAGUUAGAGUAUGGGACAAGAAAGGUGUGAGGAGGGGGCCCUUAGUCCAUGGCGGACCAUGGAUCAAGCUCUACUUUUCUCACAUGGUGCACAUAAAAGUUAUGGACCAAAGAAACUACUUUUACCAUUUUACCCUCACUUUUCUCUCUCC